GACGAACGCUGGCGGCGUGCUUAACACAUGCAAGUCGAACGGAAAGGCCCUGCUUUUGUGGGGUGCUCGAGUGGCGAACGGGUGAGUAACACGUGAGUAACCUGCCCUUGACUUUGGGAUAACUUCAGGAAACUGGGGCUAAUACCGGAUAGGAGCUCCUGCUGCAUGGUGGGGGUUGGAAAGUUUCGGCGGGUGGGGAUGGACUCGCGGCUUAUCAGCUUGUUGGUGGGGUAGUGGCUUACCAAGGCUUUGGCGGGUAGCCGGCCUGAGAGGGUGACCGGCCACAUUGGGACUGAGAUACGGCCCAGACUCCUACGGGAGGCAGCAGUGGGGAAUAUUGCACAAUGGGCGGAAGCCUGAUGCAGCAACGCCGCGUGCGGGAUGACGGCCUUCGGGUUGUAAACCGCUUUCGCCUGUGACGAAGCGUGAGUGACGGUAAUGGGUAAAGAAGCACCGGCUAACUACGUG
rnacentral:rRNA from 1 species